rnacentral:rRNA from 1 species
AUUGAACGCUGGCGGCAGGCCUAACACAUGCAAGUCGAACGAGUGGCGGACGGGUGAGAAAUGUCUGGGAAACUGCCCGAUGGAGGGGGAUAACUACUGGAGACGGUAGCUAAUACCGCAUACCAUCGGAUGUGCCCCGAUGGGAUUAGCUUGUAGGUGAGGUAACGGCUCACCUAGGCGACGAUCCCUAGCUGGUCUGAGAGGAUGACCAGCCACACUGGAACUGAGACACGGUCCAGACUCCUACGGGAGGCAGCAGUGGGGAAUAUUGCACAAUGGGCGCAAGCCUGAUGCAGCCAUGCCGCGUGUAUGAAGAAGGCCUUCGGGUUGUAAAGUACUUUCAGCGGGGAGGCGUUACCCGCAGAAGAAGCACCGGCUAACUCCGUGCCAGCAGCCGCGGUAAUAC